rnacentral:rRNA from 1 species
GACGAACGCUGGCGGCGUGCUUAACACAUGCAAGUCGAACGGAAAGGCCCGGCUUUUGUGGGGUGCUCGAGUGGCGAACGGGUGAGUAACACGUGAGUAACCUGCCCUUGACUUUGGGAUAACUUCAGGAGACUGGGGCUAAUACCGGAUAGGAGCUCCUGCUGCAUGGUGGGGGUUGGAAAGUUUCGGCGGUUGGGGAUGGACUCGCGGCUUAUCAGCUUGUUGGUGGGGUAGUGGCUUACCAAGGCUUUGACGGGUAGCCGGCCUGAGAGGGUGACCGGCCACAUUGGGACUGAGAUACGGCCCAGACUCCUACGGGAGGCAGCAGUGGGGAAUAUUGCACAAUGGGCGGAAGCCUGAUGCAGCAACGCCGCGUGCGGGAUGACGGCCUUCGGGUUGUAAACCGCUUUCGCCUGUGACGAAGCGUGAGUGACGGUAAUGGGUAAAGAAGCACCGGCUAACUACGUG